rnacentral:rRNA from 1 species
GGUGAGUAACACGUGGAUAACCUACCUAUAAGACUGGGAUAACUUCGGGAAACCGGAGCUAAUACCGGAUAAUAUAUUGAACCGCAUGGUUCAAUAGUGAAAGACGGUUUUGCUGUCACUUAUAGAUGGAUCCGCGCCGCAUUAGCUAGUUGGUAAGGUAACGGCUUACCAAGGCGACGAUGCGUAGCCGACCUGAGAGGGUGAUCGGCCACACUGGAACUGAGACACGGUCCAG